GUUAUUUUAUCGAUGUAAUCGUAGAUACUGUGAAGGGAACAAGCAGAAAACUCCCAUGGAUUCCUGGCCUUGGUUUCGUCCGUAACACGUGACAUCUUGGAUGCCAUUAGAUUGAGAUCCCUGGCUGAGCACAUAUCUGCAUUUUGACUUCCAUCGUGCGACGCCCCGAAACUGUAAGCAUUCAGAAAAAGACAUAUUGUAAGUGCUUCUUUCUUCUAGUAAUAAAAAUGACGGUGAAGUAUGUCCGGAAUACUGUUUUUGUUACUUGUGUCCGAGUUCAUGUGCUGCCACGUGGACUGUUAGUGCGUUCAUUUUCUCCUCCACCACCGAUACCGACCAGUUACCGCACAUCCGGCUUAGGAACGACAAACCUGAAGAAGAAAAAACGACCUGAUAACUUUACAAUUCUGAUGAGGGGGGCUCUCGACGAAGGAGCAGUCACUCCAUAUAGUAAAUACUUCAGAAACAAGCUCAUGUGCCAUCAAAACCAUUGCAUCCAACUAACAUUGAACCAGUUUACAUGCUGCAAUUUAUCUGAUGAAAUGUGGAUGCAUUGAUGACGUUUAUUUAUCAAUAAUUCUCACUUUCAUUCAUACGUCGAUUCGAUGUAUCCAAGUGAACUCGAAAAAAAAAUCA